AUGCAGCGACGCCGCGUGAGUGAAGAAGUAUCUCGGUAUGUAAAGCUCUAUCAGCAGGGAAGAAAAUGACGGUACCUGACUAAGAAGCCCCGGCUAACUACGUGCCAGCAGCCGCGGUAAUACGUAGGGGGCAAGCGUUAUCCGGAUUUACUGGGUGUAAAGGGAGCGUAGACGGCGACGCAAGUCUGGAGUGAAAGCCCGGGGCCCAACCCCGGGACUGCUUUGGAAACUGUGCUGCUGGAGUGCAGGAGAGGUAAGUGGAAUUCCUAGUGUAGCGGUGAAAUGCGUAGAUAUUAGGAGGAACACCAGUGGCGAAGGCGGCUUACUGGACUGUAACUGACGUUGAGGCUCGAAAGCGUGGGGAGCAAACAGGAUUAGAUACCCUGGUAGUCCACGCCGUAAACGAAGAGUGCUAGGUGUCGGGGGGCAAAGCCCUUCG
rnacentral:rRNA from 1 species